CAGCGGCCGGCAUGUGGGAGUGAGAGCGCGGCGCUUGCGACGGCGGAUCGGAAUCCUGGAUUUUUGGCACCGAAAAUAGUAUGGGUGGGCGGCGCGAGCGCAGGGCGGGCGGCCGCGCGCUUAGUGCGUGUCGCUCCGCCGUGUGAACAGCCCGCUAGGCCAGUAGCUGGCGUAUUAUUUCGACCGGACCGUAGAAACAAAAAGCCGCCACCAUGGACGCGAUCAAGAAGAAGAUGCAGGCGAUGAAGCUGGAGAAGGACAAUGCCAUGGACAAGGCUGAUACCUGCGAACAGCAGGCCAGGGAUGCCAACCUCCGCGCCGAAAAGGUAAACGAGGAAGUCCGUGAACUCCAAAAGAAACUCGCCCAAGUAGAAGAAGACCUCGUCGUCAACAAGAACAAGCUCGAGCAGGCCAACAAAGACUUGGAAGAGAAGGAGAAGCAGCUGGCCGCUACCGAGGCGGAGGUGGCCUCACUCAACAGGAAGGUGCAGCAGAUUGAGGAGGACCUCGAGAAGUCUGAGGAGAGGUCUGGCACAGCCCAGCAGAAACUGCUCGAGGCUCAACAGUCCGCUGACGAGAACAACCGUAUGUGCAAAGUAUUGGAGAACAGAGCACAACAAGACGAGGAGCGCAUGGACCAGCUCACCAACCAACUGAAGGAAGCCCGACUCCUCGCUGAGGACGCUGACGGCAAGUCUGACGAAGUUUCACGCAAGCUGGCCUUCGUUGAAGACGAACUUGAAGUCGCUGAGGACCGUGUCAAGUCUGGUGAUGCCAAAAUCUCAGAACUUGAAGAAGAAUUGAAAGUCGUAGGUAACUCCCUUAAAUCACUGGAAGUAUCAGAAGAAAAAGCCAACCAACGUGUAGAAGAAUUCAAAAAGCAGCUGAAGACCCUCACUACCAAACUGAAGGAAGCUGAAGCACGCGCCGAGUACGCUGAGAAGACAGUGAAGAAACUGCAGAAGGAAGUCGACAGGCUCGAAGACACACUAUUCAACGACAAGGAGAAAUACAAGUCCAUAUGCGAUGAUUUGGACAGCACAUUCGCCGAACUCACUGGAUACUAACCAAUUCCUUACAAUUAGUUUAAGUCGCUACCGUUCCGUAGAACAAAUCCAUAAUACCCUUUAUUACAUUUCCAUUAAUUUGUAAACUUUCCUAAUUACCACAUCUAUUUUAACGUCCAUACAAAUCAUUUAUUAUAUCAUCUGACCAAUCUUAAUCUUCCAUUGCCUUUUCAAGCCUUGCAUUGCUUCUAAAAUAAUCCACAAUUUAUAAUUCUCCCUAAAUAACUGUAACCUUUUAGUCGAUAUUUAGAGGAUUGUCAUUAUCAUCUGGCAUGAAAUGGUUUUCAACUACGUUUCUAAUAUAAACAGUUAAAUCUCCGGAGUUUUCUACUCCGUUGACCAUGUUCUCUACAUAUAGCUUUAGUGCUUCAAGGCGGAAUGGAUGAGCAUAUUUUAGGCAUGCAUAACCCAUUUUAGAGCAUGUAGAAAUGAAAUUUUGAUUUAACUAAAUAUAGGACGUCAUUUGUUGAACCUUUUUGUAGGCAAUCCUUUAGAAAUCGUAGUAUUGGCCCUCUUUUUGUGUUGUGAUUAAUAUGUCUUAUGCUUUGCUGCUACCGCCGUGGAUCAAUGCUUCCAAGACGAGUUGGGCAUCAACAAGGACCGGUACAAGAGCUUGGCGGACGAGAUGGAUUCCACCUUCGCCGAGCUGGCGGGCUACUAGACGCACCAUCACAUUCACAACCAAACAUUCACCAGAUUCACAAGAUAGCGUGUCCGUCGACGCUACGCGAACUACUUUAUGUACUCGUGAUGUAAUAUUUAUUAAUAUAAUAUGUAAAUUUAUUUACGAUUUUCAAUAAAAUAAUUAAUUUAUAACAACUA